UUUUGCAUUUUUUUACCUUAACUUUUGAUAAAAUUGUGCUAAAUUAAACUAUUAUUUCUUUCUUUCAGGCAAGGCUAUCCCAUCCACAUUAACGGCGUAUCUUCUAGGAAGCUGCCAGUGUCUCUCAGCCCAAUGAAGGAGAGGGCAAGCUAUGUAUGCUACUUUGAUCUCAUCUACAAAAUGGGAAUAUACUUCUAAUCAAUGAAUGUGUAAAGAGACAAAUCUUAUAGAACCCUUUAAAACAGAUUAAUUACCAGAUAAAAACUUCAAGGUCAUCUAACCUUCAUCACAGUUCAAUUUAUCCUUGGCUGAUCCCUUAGUUGCCUGGCAAUACUACAGAAGACAAUAUGAUUCAUUCAAAGGUCUGUGUGGUUUCCACAUACUCUACAUUGCAUUUCCUAGUAAGACGUUACUAUAAAUCUGGACUUGCUCAGAGAAAUUGGAAUAGUCAUAAUCUAGCACUACAGCACUUACCUCAUCUUGUGCAGGGUCUUGACCCCCAAAGCCAGGUUCAAGCACAUCUUUUCCCCUUUUUCUAGUACUCUUUUUUUUGUAAAAGUUUUUUAUUUUUCAA